GAUGAACGCUGACAGAAUGCUUAACACAUGCAAGUCAACUUGAAUUUGGGUUUUUAACUUAGAUUUGGGUGGCGGACGGGUGAGUAACGCGUAAAGAACUUGCCUCACAGCUAGGGACAACAUUUAGAAAUGAAUGCUAAUACCUGAUAUUAUGAUUUUAAGGCAUCUUAGAAUUAUGAAAGCUAUAAGCACUGUGAGAGAGCUUUGCGUCCCAUUAGCUAGUUGGAGAGGUAACAGCUCACCAAGGCGAUGAUGGGUAGCCGGCCUGAGAGGGUGAACGGCCACAAGGGGACUGAGACACGGCCCUUACUCCUACGGGAGGCAGCAGUGGGGAAUAUUGGACAAUGGACCGAGAGUCUGAUCUAGCAAUUCUGUGUGCACGAUGAAGUUUUUCGGAAUGUAAAGUGCUUUCAGUUGGGAAGAAAAAAAUGACGGUACCAACAGAAGAAGUGACGGCUAAAUACGUGCCAGCAGCCGCGGUAAUACGUAUGUCACGAGCGUUAUCCGGAUUUAUUGGGCGUAAAGCGCGUCUAGGUGGUUAUGUAAGUCUGAUGUGAAAAUGCAGGGCUCAACUCUGUAUUGCGUUGGAAACUGUAUAACUAGAGUACUGGAGAGGUAAGCGGAACUACAAGUGUAGAGGUGAAAUUCGUAGAUAUUUGUAGGAAUGCCGAUGGGGAAGCCAGCUUACUGGACAGAUACUGACGCUAAAGCGCGAAAGCGUGGGUAGCAAACAGG
rnacentral:rRNA from 1 species